rnacentral:rRNA from 1 species
GACGAACGCUGGCGGCGUGCCUAACACAUGCAAGUCGAGCGGGGAGUUAAGUGGAAGUUCUUCUGAAUGGAGAUUUAAAUUCUAGCGGCGGCCGGGUGAGUAACGCGUGAACAAUCUGUCCCGGACAGGGGGAUAACACUUGGAAACAGGAGCUAAUACCGCAUAAGACCACGGCCUCGCAUGGGGCUGAGGUAAAAGGAGCAAUCCGGUUCGGGGUGCGUUCGCGUCCGAUUAGCGAGUUGGUGAGGUAACGGCCCACCAAGGCGACGAUCGGUAGCCGGCCUGAGAGGGUGAACGGCCACAUUGGAACUGAGAGGCGGUACAAUCCCCUACGGGAGGCAGGAGUGGGGAAUAUUGGGCAAUGGGCGAGCGCCUGACCCAGCAACGCCGCGUGAGAGAAGAAGGUUUUCGGAUUGUAAACCUCUGUCCUAUGGGACGAAGGAAGUGACGGUACCAUAGGAGGAAGCCCCGGCUAACUACGUG